AAAGAAGAUGGACCACAAGUCCCACCAAGUGACAAACUUUUUGAAUACAUAUUGUUCCGAGGAAGUGACAUCAAGGAUUUGCAGGUUAAAUCCUCUCCACCUGUUCAGCCUGCACCUGCACCCCCCAUCGAUAAUGACCCAGCAAUCAUACAGUCUCACUACCCUCGUCCGGUCUCAACCUCUACAAGUUUGCCUCCCGCUGCUAGUGGACCCUCAACCGAUAUCGGCUCCAAC